GAACUGUGAUGAAUAUUGCGCCUCCGUGAUGGUUGGGUCCAUCGCCACUCUCUGAUCUCCAAGAUGAGAUGUGCGCUUCUGAGUUC